UACGAAGGGGGCUAGCGUUGCUCGGAAUCACUGGGCGUAAAGGGUGCGUAGGCGGGUCUUUAAGUCAGGGGUGAAAUCCUGGAGCUCAACUCCAGAACUGCCUUUGAUACUGAAGAUCUUGAGUUCGGGAGAGGUGAGUGGAACUGCGAGUGAAGAGGUGAAAUUCGUAGAUAUUCGCAAGAACACCAGUGGCGAAGGCGGCUCACUGGCCCGAUACUGACGCUGAGGCACGAAAGCGUGGGGAGCAAACAGG
rnacentral:rRNA from 1 species